CCCUUAGAUGUUCUGGGCCGCACGCGCGCUACACUGACGAAUGCAACGAGCUUAUAACCUUGGCCGAAAGGUCUGGGUAAUCUCCAAAUUUCGUCGUGAUGGGGAUAGAUUAUUGCAAUUAUUAAUCUUCAACGAGGAAUGCCUAGUAAGCGCAAGUCAUCAGCUUGCGUUGAUUACGUCCCUGCCCUUUGUACACACCGCCCGUCGCUCCUACCGAUUGAAUGGUCCGGUGAAGCGUUCGGACCGUGGCCUUUGGACGGUUCGCCGUCUGUUGGCUGCGGGAAGUUCGUUAAACCUUAUCAUUUAGAGGAAGGAGAAUUCGUAACA
rnacentral:rRNA from 1 species